rnacentral:rRNA from 1 species
AUGUAUAAGGACGAGGGGAAAAGUAUGCUAACUAUCUCCCACACCUCUAAUGAGUUUAUGGAAGACUUGAAGGAGGCAGAUUUGUGUGCUGCACUUAUUGUAAAAAGAGAAGAGCACCCAACUGUUGAAAUUCCAGCAAAGGUACGUGGCUUAUUAGCAGGAUUUCAUAACAUACUUGGGGAGCCACAAGGCCUACCGCCGAUGAGAGGGAUUCAACAUAGAAUCUUAAUUCCGGCAGCAAGUCUUCCUAAUCUUCCACACUAUCAAAUGAGCCCAAAAGAGCAUGAUAUAUUGAAGGAGAAAGCAGAGGAAUCGCUACAAAAGGGGCACAUUCGAGAAAGUAUUAGCCCAUGUGAUGUACCAGCCCUACUCACGCCCAAGAAAGAUGGAUCUUGGCGCAUGUAUACGGAUAGU